UACGGAGGGUGCAAGCGUUAUCCGGAUUUACUGGGCUUAAAGGGUGCGUAGGUGGGUUGGAAAGUCAGUGGUGAAAUCUCCGGGCUUAACCCGGAAACUGCCAUUGAUACUAUUUGUCUUGAAUACUUUGGAGGUAAGCGGAAUAUGUCAUGUAGCGGUGAAAUGCUUAGAUAUGACAUAGAACACCAAUUGCGAAGGCAGCUCGUUACGCGAAGAUUGACUCUGAGGCACGAAAGCGUGGGGAUCAAACAGG
rnacentral:rRNA from 1 species